rnacentral:lncRNA from 1 species
CUUGUUAUCUUAAAAAGAGUUUGGAGGACUGCGGUAGCCUGUGUGGGAUUAACCUCAGCUUGCAGCAACUCAAUGUUCUCCUGUAAGCGUUUACGAAAAACUGUCACAGGGUCUUGAAUUCUUUGAAAUUCUUCAUCAUCUGGAUCAGGUUCAUCAAUCUGCAUUCUGGAUAUUUCCCGUGGAUGCACCAAAUUAUCAUCAGGAUCAGGCUCCGCCUGAAUGAUUCCAAUUGAUUGAGAGUCAUCAGGAUCAGGCUCUGCCUGAAUGACUCCAUUUGAUUGAGAAUCAUCAGGAUCAGGUUCAUUAUGAACCUUCCUUGGAUGGGCUUCACAUUUGAUAGUUUCACUAACCAAAGA